rnacentral:rRNA from 1 species
UACGAAGGGGGCUAGCGUUGCUCGGAAUCACUGGGCGUAAAGCGCACGUAGGCGGACUCUUAAGUCGGGGGUGAAAUCCUGGAGCUCAACUCCAGAACUGCCUUCGAUACUGGGAGUCUUCGAGUUCGGGAGAGGUGAGUGGAAUUCCGAGUGUAGAGGUGAAAUUCGUAGAUAUUCGCAAGAACACCAGUGGCGAAGGCGGCUCACUGGCCCGAUACUGACGCUGAGGUGCGAAAGCGUGGGGAGCAAACAGG